GGACGGGGCUCAGGGGCUGAAUGUCCCCCUGAGUUCAGUUCCUGGGACCAAAAAGAAAUCAUGGUUCUGGGUGUGGUGGGGUGUGCUGGCAUGUCCCAAUCAUCCCCACCAGUGGCUUAGGCCCAGCAGUCUGCAGCCAGCCUGGGCCACACAGCAAGAUCCGUCCCCGGCACCGGAGCGAGGUCCCUGCGUGGCGGCUGAUGGGAUGUCCCCCAGGCCCUGGCUGUGCCCCAAUUCUGCUUCUCUUGGUGACUCAGGGUGGCCCCUCCUCCGUGGAGAGACCUGCUUUCAGAGCACCCCAAGCAGAGUCCCACCGGCCCUGGUCCCACGGGAGCCGUGACAUGGGGACGCCGGUGAUCAGGAGGUGCCAUCCUCCUUCUGCUGUGUCCCAGGUGUGCUGUGUGGCUUUGGCUUGGGGACAGGGGUCCAGGCAGGCACUGAGGGACACCUAGCCCUGUCCCCGAACUUUGUCCACGAUGCCUGGAGACUUAGGACAUGGACACGCACAGUGGCCCCCGCGGUCACAGAAGCCACCACUGUCUGCCCAGAGGUGCUGCUGCUCCUGGGACCCUCUGCCGGACACUGUCCCUGAGGGCCGGGCUGAUGUCCCUGUCCCAUCUCCAGAUCUGCAGAUUCCAGACUGAUUGACCUGGGCUUCUGACUCGCGGAGGAUCACUUAUGGUUCCUGUGACUUUCUUCUCAGAUUCAAUCAACUUGCUAGAAUGCCUUCCGGGAAUUCGAGGAAACAUUUUGUUUACUGCUUUCAUUAUAAAAAAAAAAAGAUAUGACAAGUUCUGAUGAGGAGACUCCGCAGAGGCGUUCUUUAUUAGCAUAUCUGAAGCUCUGGGUUCCAUCGCCUGUACUGCAAAAAAUGAAGAGGCAGACAGACAGACAGAUCGGGUAAAGGGCAUGGCAAAGGACACAGAUGAAGAGGUGCACUUUCUCCUCCGGAGGCUCAGACAGGAGGACUGGGAGUUGGAGGCCAGCCUCAAAAUUCAGCAAGACACUAUCUCGGAAAAUUAAAGGGGGGUGUAUGCCCGGGGUGCAGCUGGGUGGUGGAGCCUGUAACUGGCUGUGGGUGCCAUCUUGGUGCCCAGUCCUCCCAGAGACAUGUGGCACCAGCAUCUUCCAAAACACAAUGCAGGUAGGACAAUCUGCAGCCCUGAUACUGUUACUUACAACCCGGGGACCUUGAUCAAGAAGGAUCUGCGCUCCUUUCUUGUCCUUGGAGAGUUGAUGCACUUUUCCGAGACCAGCAUCUAGAUGAUUUAAGACGGGUUACAUCCCAAUACCGAAUAAGCCCUGGAAAGAUGGAAAAUAUCAGAAGUGAAAAAUGCAUUUUAAUAAACCUCUUCCUGCACA